rnacentral:lncRNA from 1 species
CUUGCCCUCGACUGGCUGGCAAUGCUGUGCCUGAGGCACCCCAGGACAAAUACCGUGUUUUUGUAAUCAAGGGCUUAGCAUUGAGCCUUCCAGGAGGUUGCUUCUCUGUAGACUGUAAAGAACUUCACAAGAAAGGGCUGUAGCCUGUGCCUAAAGCUUGGCAUGACAUCACUGUAAAGCAAGAUUGCUGUCAAGAACAGCAUUUAUCACAAGGAACAUUUCAGUCUCAUUUAAAAAGACUCAAAGCAACUGAAGUAUCUAAGCUAAUUUACACAAGUCUCCAAGAAUGGAAAACAGGCCUCUGGCAUGGACUGUAACCUGCUUCUAAAUGAAGGCACUCAAACUUUCUCUGAACAUAUGAAACAUCUUAUCCCACCAGAAACUUGAAGACCAGUGGACUCAUCAAAACAAACAAACAAAGCCAACCAACCAACAAACAAACUAACAACACCAUACAACAAAGAACCCUAAGACUAAAAUCUAUUUAUGGUAAGAACUGAUUGUAUGAUC